rnacentral:tRNA from 1 species
GGAUGGAUGUCUGAGCGGUUUAAAGAGUCGGUCUUGAAAACCGAAGUAUUGAUAGGAAUACCGGGGGUUCGAAUCCCUCUCCAUCCGC